rnacentral:rRNA from 1 species
AGAAGCAGCCACCCUUUAAAGAGUGCGUAAUAGCUCACUGGUCAAGGGACUGUGCGCCGACAAUUUAUCGGGGCUAAAGCCUGUUACCGAAAUUGUGGCUUCCGCUUACGCGGAGGGGUAGGGGAGCGUUCUAUAUGCACUGAAGCUCAACUGUAAGGUUGGGUGGAGCGUAUAGAAGUGAGAAUGCCGGCAUGAGUAAUGUGAAGAUGCGUGAGAACCGCAUCCGCCGAAAGUCUGAGGUUUCCUACGCAACGUCGUUCGGCGUAGGGUUAGUCGGUCCUAAGUCGAGGCCGCAAGGCGUAGACGAUGGAUAGCUGGUUAAUAUUCCAGCGCCACCCAUGGAUCGUUUUAAGGCUAAGGAGGGACACGGGAAGCUAGGUAGAGCGUGCCUAUUGGACAUGGUACGUCGGAACCUGUAGGUGAUCUCGGGAUAGGAAAAUCCGUUCCGAGGCUUGAGCUGAGGGGUAAUGCGACUUUAGGGCUUAGCCCUAGGGAAGUCUAUUGAUGCUACACCGGCAAGAAAAACUUCGUAGCUAGAGUCAUGGGUGUCCGUACCGCAAACCGACACUGGUGGACUGGUAUAAAUGUACUAAGGCGGACGAGAGAACCAUCCUUAAGGAACUCGGCAAAUUGACUCCGUAACUUUGGGAGAAGGAGUGCCCUGGGACGUGUACCCCCUUGCGGGAGAAGCGUUUUGGGGUCGCAGAUAAGAGGCUCUGGUGACUGUUUAACAAAAACACAGGUCCCUGCUUAAGUCGUAAGACGAUGUAUAGGGGCUGACGCCUGCCCAGUGCCGGAAGGUCAAGAGGCGCGGUGAGAGCUGCAAAUCGAAGCCCCGGUGAACGGCGGCCGUAACUAUAACGGUCCUAAGGUACCGAAAUCCCUUGUCAGGUAAGUUCUGACCCGCAGGAAAGGCGUAACAACUGGAGCGCUGUCUCAAGGAUGGUCUCGAUGAAAUUGAAGUACGAGUGAAGAUGCUCGUUACCCGCAGCAGGACAAAAAGACCCCGUGGAGCUUUACUGCAACCUGACAUUGAUCCGAGGAUACAGUUGUGUAGCAUAGGUGGGAGGCUAUGAAACUCAGACGCCAGUUUGAGCGGAGCCAUCGUUGAAAUACCACUCUUCUCUGUUUUUGGAUCUAACCCCUGAACAAGCAGGGGAACCGUGUCUGGCGGGCAGUUUGACUGGGGCGGUCGCCUCCCAAAAAGUAACGGAGGCGUGCAAAGGUUCCCUCAGGGUGGAUGGAAAUCACCCGCAGAGCGCAUUGGUAGAAGGGAGCUUGACUGCGAGGCCUACAAGCCAAGCAGGGACGAAAGUCGGCCAAAGUGAUCCUACGGUCCCGUGUGGAAGGGCCGUGGCUUAUCGGAUAAAAGCUACCCCGG